CGAUGAUAGCUUGCUAUCAGGCGUCGAGCGGCGGACGGGUGAGUAAUGCUUGGGGAACUGCCCAGUCGAGGGGGACAACUAUUGGAAACGAUAGCUAAUACCGCAUACGCCCUACGGGGGAAAGGAGGGGACUCUUCGGAGCCUUUCGCGAUUGGAUGUACCCAAGUGGGAUUAGCUAGUUGGUGAGGUAAUGGCUCACCAAGGCGACGAUCCCUAGCUGGUUUGAGAGGAUGAUCAGCCACACUGGAACUGAGACACGGUCCAGACUCCUACGGGAGGCAGCAGUGGGGAAUAUUGCACAAUGGAGGAAACUCUGAUGCAGCCAUGCCGCGUGUAUGAAGAAGGCCUUCGGGUUGUAAAGUACUUUCAGCGAGGAGGAAAGGUUGUUAGUUAAUAGCUGACAGCUGUGACGUUACUCGCAGAAGAAGGACCGGCUAACUCCGUGCCAGCAGCCGCGGUAAUACGGAGGGUCCGAGCGUUAAUCGGAA
rnacentral:rRNA from 1 species